GCUUGGGUGGCUUAGUUGGUUAAGUGUCCAACUUCAACUCAGGUCAUGAUCUUGAGGUCUGUGGGUUCAAGCCCCGCGUCAAGCU
rnacentral:tRNA from 1 species